rnacentral:tRNA from 1 species
UGGGGAGCGGUCAAACCCAACAGACUGUAAAUCUGUCGCGAAAGCUUCGAAGGUUCGAAUCCUUCC